GACGAACGCUGGCGGCGUGCUUAACACAUGCAAGUCGAACGGAAAGGCCCUGCUUUUGCGGGGUGCUCGAGUGGCGAACGGGUGUGUAACACGUGAGUAUCCUGCCCUUGACUUUGGGAUAACUUCAGGAAACUGGGGCUAAUACUGGAUAGGAGCUCCUGCUGCAUGGUGGGGGUUGGAACGUUUCGGCGGUUGGGGAUGGACUCGCGGCUUAUCAGCUUGUUGGUGGGGUAGUGGCUUACCAAGGCUUUGACGGGUAGCCGGCCUGAGAGGGUGACCGGCCACAAUGGGACUGAGGGACGGCCCAGACUCCUACGGUAGGCAGCAGUGGGAAAUAUUGCACAAUGGGCGGAAGCCUGAUGCAGCAGCGCCGCGUGCGGGAAGACGGCCUUCUUGGUGUAAACCGCAUUCGCCUGUGACGAAGCGUGAGUGACGGUAAUGGGUAAAGAAGCACCGGCUAACUACGUG
rnacentral:rRNA from 1 species